CCCACACCACCAGUGGCCUCCAACACCUGUAAGUUCACCAACCAGCCCUGAGAACUACGACCCUUGCCCUCUGCACUCAACCCCCAUCAUCAUGCAGUAUAGCUAUCCUGAACUGCAGCAGUCAUUGCACAGCACUCCAGACAGGCCAUAUGCAAAUCUGUGAUUGUACCAUUCCCCACCCCAUCCCCUUGCACUUUCUGAUUCCAAAAAAGUUGUGUUUCCUUCAGUAAAUUAAUUUUCUUUUCAAUAAAUGAAUUUUUGGCUUUGAAAA